rnacentral:rRNA from 1 species
GCAGAGUUCCUGCAGCUCUACGAGCUAGGCAUCGAAGCGGCCAACGAAGACGAGAAGGUCAUGGCGAAUUGGUUUCCCAUGGCGCUCAAGGAUGGUGCCUGCACCUUGCUCCUGAACCUGCCUCCCGGCACGAUCUCCUCCUGGGAAGAGAUGCGCACCCGCUUCAUCGCCAACUUCCAUGACACUCGCGACCGUCCUCCGGUCGUGGGUGACCUGCGCCGCAUCAAGCAGCAACUAGGAGAGAUCCUACAGGAGUACAUCCAGCGCUUCAACAACGCUUGCCUCAAGAUUCCCAAGGUGACUGAGGAGGCCAUCAUCUCAGCAUUCUCUGAUGGCAUCCGCAAUGUCAAGAUGAAGGAGGAGCUGGCAAUCCACGAGGACCUGUGCACAUCUCUGGAGCUAUUCAACCUGGCGACCAAGUGUGCAAGGGCUGAGGAGUGGCAGCUCUCCCUUCUCGAGCUCCCAGCUGCUGACCCAGAAGAGAAGAAAGCC